GAUAGGAUGGAAAUCAAUUUCUUUUGUAUUCAAUGCUGUAUUUCAGUAAUGCAUAUUCAAUUUUGUAACUUCAGUAUAAAUACAUACCUACAGUAUAAAAUGAUACAAACAUACCUAACUUACUUGACAAUAUAAAUUUUGGGAAACUGAGUUAUUUCAGGGUAGCUUUGAAUUAACAUGCUAUGCUAAAAAUAGCAAUUCUUUCCAAAAAGUGAAAUCUAAAAAGCUCGACUGAAAAUCUUGACUAGCAGAAAGAUCAAAAGUGCCAAUUACUGGAUCAAAACCACUAACAGGUACAUUGAUUGAUGUGGAUGUACUUCAAGAAUUACUGAAUAAGCUGAAUUUAGAAACUGAGAACCACUGCUGGAUAAACUAAAAUGGUUUUUGCAUAGCAUAGGCUACUUAUAUUCUCAUACUUUAAUCCUGUAUUUGUCUUUUACAGUUAAAUUAAAAGAAAAACAAGACACCCAUAAGUAUAUACAUUCAGAAAAGGAGACCUCCCUGAUGAAAUACUUAAGACUGGAUUAGACAAAUGUCUCCUAGACCACAUUAUUUGCUACUUGGGCAGGGCUGGAGAUUGACUUCAUGAACUUCAUGGCUUUCCUUUGUGCAAUAAACACUCAAUCUGAAGACAAGGAGACAAGAGUCUUUUCCUGAAGAUGGAGAAAGUCAGGAAACAGCAAAUUAGAAAAAGACAGUGGUGGUUUGAAAUUAAUACUUCCAAAGAGAUGAAUUACCUAACAGACAGCAUUGCCAUAAAAGCAAAGUUAAACAAUUUUGCUUCUCUGAGUGUAAGCAGCAAUGUGACAGGAAGACUGCUUGUGAACUCUAUCUAGACUCUACAGUUCCAGUAAGCAACCCUUUCAGUUCACUAGCAGAGUUUCCCAUCAGAUGGUGCUGCAGCAAUAAAUAAUAGGAGCCUCAAAACAGUGAAACCUACACUGCUAGGAGAUGGUGAAAAUACGACAGAUACAAACUAAAGGCAAGAGAAGAAGGGUUAACUUUAAAUUCUGGAACCAUCCAGCCUAGCAGCUGAUACCUGGAUCCUUAACAGAGUCUGAAAACUUUUUGGAUGCGGACUGGUUUUGCUUAUCAGUUCUUCAAAGUUAGGCAAGUUAGGUUCAAGGCAUAUUCCAACUACAAAAAUAGCACAGCAUCCACCACCACGGCUAAACGUUUUUUUCCACAAAGAUAGACAUGAGUGGAAUACACAACUCUGAGAUUUAAAAUAAAUAAAUAAAUAAAUGAUACACUACUAUUUGCAGUUGGAAAUAAGCCAUUGUUAAGAGUAGUUUCUUAACUAAAAGCCAAGUUUCUUAAAAUGGAAGUAAAACAAGAUUUUCUGACAAAAGUAUACUCUCUUACUAGUCUAGCUGGUAUAGCUGGAAACAUAAGCACGCUUUCUUAAUAUACAUGUAUAGUCAGUGUGGAUCCAACCAUAAAUACAAAAGCAAGAUCACAUGUGCUGCCUCCAAUUCUGAUAAUAGAUAAACAUGAAUCCAGCUUCUGGAACCUUUAUGACCUUCUUUUCCCAUAGAAAGUGUAAGAGAAAAGAAGAUGCAAUGUUUCCUUAAGUCCACCACAACUUGAAACACUGAUCAACCAGCAAAUUCUUACUGUCAACACCGAUAAAAGGAAAAUGAAAUAUAUGCAAUCUCUCUCUUUUCAAGAACGUACAUACAAGAAUGCGUGCUUCCAUGAAUGAGUUCAUGGAGGAAGAAUGGCAAGCAAAAUUCACCCUUUUGAAAGGAAGGCUAGAAAACAUAAGCUAAAUCAAAUGUUCAAGAACAGCGUUACUACUCAUUAAUUCAGCUCUGUCUCUUUGUCAGGUGUGUCCUAUAGGAUGCAUCCUAGAGAUUGCACUCCUCAAUGCGUUCCUCUUUCAGGAUACUAGUUGUUUUACAAAUGUCCCAAAUAACCCCACUGCAGUGUUACAUCUGUGGCUGCUCAUGAAACUGACUAUCAUCCAAGCUUUUCUUUGGUGUCGUUUUUUUUAAGAGAGUUUUUCUUCACCUCCUACAGACUUGAUUAUUCCAAGUGAAGGAGCUCUUCCUCCUUCCCCCUCACCAUGUCUAAGUGUUUCACAAAAUAAGUUGUAGCAAAAAAAUAAACAAACAUGUUUGGAGGACAAAGUGGAUCCACUUCUAUAACUCAUCUCUCAUUAUUAAGUCAAAUUUAAUUAACAUUAGAAAAGAGAGCACUGCUACCAAAGCAAUUUCUGCAUCUGUCAUUAAUACCAGAUGAAUUGUUGGUGCCUGAAAUACCCCCUUCUUUUGGUAUGCUGACCUGAAAAAUCUCAUUGAUAGCAUUAUCUUCAGUUCUAGUUUCACUGUUAACAUUUCCUCUCUCCCAGAAAUGCAGAGGGUACUAGAAAGCAGUAGAAACAGGAUUUUCUUCUGAAAUGAGCUACCUUAAAGUGAUCUCAAACCUGGUUGUUAGAACUGAGUGCUGGAUAAUACCACAUUCUAUAUGAACAUUUUCAUAACACAAACAUCAGUCUUUCUGUUUGAGUCUUAAAAUACCAGUUCUACAUCGAUGCACUUGAAGUACAUCAGAAGGACGCAUUUAAAGUACAUACAAAAUUAACCUUUUAAUAUAUUAUUGUAUCCUAAAAACCCAUAUAGUCUUUAAUACCAAUUUGUACACCCAAUAUAAGAUUGCUUUUACCCAUCUAACAUUUAACUAGACUAAGGCAUAGUCUGAAAAUAAAGGGCAAUGAUAACUUCCACUCCA